CCUCGGAUAGCUCAGUCGGUAGAGUAUGAGACUCUUAUUUUCAGGGUUGUGGGUUUGAGACCCAUGUUGGGGA